CUUCAUCUCCCACUUCCAAUUCCCCUCCAUCCAUCUCCCACACUCCUGUACUCUAACGUCUCUAUUCUCACAGAUUCUAUAGAGUCUAGGAAACUGGCAUUUUAGAGGUUCCAGUCCCGCCCAAGGGUGAUCCAAAAAAAUGGUAUCCAGCCCGUUACCAAGCUUGCGCUUGAGGUUUUCCCGAAACCAGCAGUCAGCUCCCCUUCCUCCCACGUCAAUCACCUUCGCCCACCACCCAUGUUUCAUCCCCCUCCUACCCUUAAGGGUAAAGUCACCUCCCACCUACUCAAUUUCCCCAUAUAAGGAUCUCACCACCCUCACCCAAAGAAGAUCUUUUCCUUCCCAAUACCUCCAUAUCCACUUAGCAACCAAAGCCAAGUUCACCCACUCAACAUUUCGAAAGCCC
rnacentral:lncRNA from 1 species